rnacentral:misc_RNA from 1 species
GAUGAAGAACGCAGCGAAAUGCGAUAAGUAAUGCGAAUUGCAGAAUUCAGUGAGUCAUCGAAUCUUUGAACGCACAUUGCGCCCUGUGGUAUUCCGCAGGGCAUGCCUGUUCGAGCGUCAUUUCAACCAUCAAGCCCCGCUUGGUGUUGGGCCCCGCCCGCCGUGGCCGGCCCUAAAGACAGUGGCGGCGCCGCCUGGCCCUCAGCGUAGUACAGCUCUCGCUCCAGGGUCCGGCGGCCGCCUGCCAGAACCCCCCCAACUCUGUGGUUGACCUCGGAUCAGGUAGGGAUACCCGCUGAACUUAAGCAUAUCAAUAAGCGGAGGA